AACGGAAAAUCACCGAAAAUGAGAGCAAUUAAGAGUUCAAACUUUUUUUUCGAUUUCUACGAUCCGUUCGCUUGGGCGACUGCCGUUUAACUGUAAAAAGGAACAGAUUUUCUAUCGAAUCGCGAUCCUCCUUUUGUCUCGCAUUCGUCAAAAAGUAUCGAAGUGUGUAACUGUAAUUGGCGCAGAGUUGUCUUGUGAUCGAAAGAUGGUGAAAUAUUUAAUUUCAAUAAAUUGUAAAAAGCUAAUUAAAAGUGGCAUUAAAUAAAUAAAUGCAUUUAGAAGUUUAAGUUUACAAAAUUUUACUUAAAAUACAACAAACGUGCAUUUGCGUCGUUUUCUGCUGCUAUUUAUUAUUUAUUGACAAUUAAAUCAAUUGCCAUCGGUUAAUUAUGCCGAUUCGCCAAUUGCAAGUGCAAGUGCAAAGACAAAACGGGCAAAGACAAGGUUAGCCGCUAAAAGCCGUCUUGGCUUUAAAUCAAAACAAGUGCAGCAAAGCCAAAAGCAAGUAGAAAAAAAACACCAACAACAUUGCAAAGUGUGUAAGCAACUUAUAUUGUAUGUGUGAACAAAUGUGCAUAAGUGGAACAAUCGGCAGUCCAGUGGAGCUUCAGUUCAGUUCAGUCAUUGUCAUUCGCGAAGAAUUUUUGAUUUUUGGGGAAUAUACACAGGCACAUCAGAUACAGAUCUUAAUGCGUAUAUAGUAAGAAACUGGUCAGACAUGCCCAACAAAGUGUGGGCGUGCUAUAUUUCUGGAAUCGAUUUUUGACGUCAAGUGCAGUAUGCUGAUAAGACUGGAGAAUCCGAAUCCGAAGACAGGAGACUGAAGACAGGAGAACGAAGAUCCAGACAGAUUUUAUGGCCAAAAUAAAUGACGAACAGCGAAAACGGCAAAAGGCAAACGGCAACGAAAGGAACAGGCUAAUAAAAAGCCAUUAAAGCCAAGUUCAGGCAGGUCAUGAUCAAGGAUCUACAUUUUUCUAGAAAAAAGAAAUCAAAAUUCCCGAUAUAAAGAAAAUAUUACAUCCAACUGAGAACCUGUACAACAGUUUUUAAAAGACUGCCUGGAAGUAGGAGUGUGGCUCGCUGCGUAUGCCGUGGCUUAUGGCGUGCACCUUCACCUCGUAACCGGAACCGGGAUGCAGGUAGUGGAUGG